UUUACAGUACCUCUACUUAAAUCUUCUCGGACGAUUCACUCAUGAGUUUAGAUGAAUGGGUCCCUUUAAUACAGAAGCACAUCCACUUCCUAUAGCUGGCAAAAACUCAUUUUACCGGAAAGUUCAAGAAUCCGAGAACCAGUGGUAAGACAUCGAAACGAGACUUUUGAGGAAGCUUCACUGUCACUAAUAAACAGUGGAAUGUGA